UCUGGGAAUUUCAGCCGCUUAUAAGGUGACAUUCUUGUCUGAGAAGUAAGCAGCGAGCCCGUAAGAAAGCGAGUCGAGGGGACAGAAACGCGGAAAGGCCCCGCCCUGCCUGGACACAGGUGAUUUGGGGCACCACUGCCCCCCACUGGUAAACUGGCCCUCGUUUCGUGUCCCCAGAACCUCACUCCACAGGUGGCCUGCAACCCCUUGACAGAAAGCUGGUUGUCACUGUGCUGCAGUCCGUUUCUGUCUCUCCAUCUCCCUGUGGCUCUGGUGACAGUCUGGGGACAGCCCAUGUCUCCCCGCCUCUGUCUCUCUGUCCCCCCACCCCCAGUGGCUCUGGUGACAGUCUGGGGACAGCCCAUGUCUCCCCGCCUCUGUCUCUCUGUCCCCCCCACCCCCAGCGUCUCGCCCCGGGUUUUGCAGCCCGCCAGGCGCCACCCCUGGCGUUAGACCCCGGGUUGUUCAUUUCUCAGUUCCUUUAGCCAGGUGGAAACAGAAGGUUCGGGGAAAUGUUCCUGAGUGUACAUCGUUUGGACAAAACAGCUCCGAGUGCCGGUGAAGGUCAGGCUUGUACCUCAACGGUGUUUCGGGUCAAAUUCCGAGUUCCGUGUGAUCAGGGCGUGUGACUUAGAGUACAAGGGCACCGCCGUGUUAGCGGGAUGGCAAGCUCAGUGAUGCUUAUUACCACGGCACAGAGAGCCUUUGAGUCUAAACAAGAUGACCAACGCUCGCUUGGCCUGGGGCUCAUACGACGUCACUCCGUGAGAUGGUGUUACCACCCAGUGAGAGCCUGUCACGUCAGGCCGCUCCUUUGUAACAGCAUGGCUGUGUUGUUAGGUUAUGAGGACAAAUACUUUUGAGAAUAAGGCUCAUCUGUCUGGAGCAAAGACAAGGGCGCGUCCGUAUGUCGGGAGCACGGUCCCACGCGCCUUGAGCGAUCCAGGGAGACAGAGGUCGCAGGGGGCGGGGUCACGGUCCCCAAAAGACACCAGGGCCUGGCCCCUGGAACCCAACAGACUUGCCUGGGGCUCGGGCUCCAGCGUUAAUGUGUGGGCUAGUCCCUUUCUGUUGUUCAAGUCGAAACCAAAGGUGAAGUUCUCGGGAAAGGAUGGAAGGGAGUCAAGCCUCGGGGGUGACGAUUUGGCCUUGUUUCUGUUUUAACACAUCCGCACGUAAUACAUUUGUUGCUGUCUGAUGAGAUCUUAUAAACUGUGGUAAGACAUGUACAAACGCAGAAUUUGCCGUCCUAACUCUCGAGAGCUCAGUGGUUUAAGUACACGCACGCCGUCUGUAGCCGGCCCUGCUGUCUGUCCCCUGGACUCUCUUCAUCUUGUGACGCUGGGGCUCUGUCCCCACCGAACACCAGCUCCCCCGCUCCCACGCCCGGCCCAGCCCCCAUGCACUGAACCCCCCCAGUCCCCGCCACCCCCCCGCCCCCAGCCUCCCCACCUCAGCCCCCGGCCCACCCCCACGCACCAAACUCCCUCCAGUCCACCGAUGGAUCCAGCCGGGGGCCCCUACACUUCCUCUUUAAGGCUGAAUUGUGUGUGCAGACCGCACACGUCUAUCUGUCCGUCCAUCAGUGGGCACUCGGGUGGCCUUCUCCUUCUGGCUGUGUGAAGGAUGCUGCUGUGAACAUUGGUGCACAGCUAACCCUUGGGGAACCUGCUCUCUGCUCCCUGGGUGCGUGGCCGGAAGUAAGAUGCUGAUGUUACUGCUGUUUUUAAAAGAAUGGACGUAAUUGUUUAAACACUUCCCCGAAGUUUUAGUUUUGAAUACACUCAUCAGUAAGUACCAUUAUAGUGGCUGAUCUAACACACUUAUGUGGGUUUUUGGGGGAGUCCUCAACAGCUUGCAAGCUUGCAGAGGGCACCUGUACUUGGGGAACGGCUGGCCCCAGGUGAGAAGCUGCCACCUGCCUGGGAACGGACUCAGGAGGUUGACACGGACCUGCGACCCCCUGCAGACCCCGUUUCACAGAAGGGGACACUGAGCCAAAGGGCAGACGUAGAAGUUGCCUAAGGCCCUACAGCAGGACCUCAGAGGAGGGGACAGCACUCAGCACACGCCUGGGCCUCGGGGAUUGGGCUGGUGGGCCGGGCCCACGGAGCCCCAGCUCGGGCUUUACACCAGACGGUAACAGCUGCUGCCGUGGCUUACCACGAGAGAUCUUUCUGGGACCCCGUCAUGUGCUGCCCCCACCAUCAGCCGUUGCUUCCGUGCCGAGCGCUUUGGCUGUAUUAGCUCAUUUAAUUCUAUUCUGUGAUGAACUAUCCCCACCCCUGUGGUUCAGUCACUUGCUGGGCCCCCCGCAGGCGAGUGGUGAAGCUGGCUGUCCAAACGAGGCCCUGUCCCUGUAGAGGCGCCCCCGCUUGGGUCACAGUAGAAGUGGGAUAAAAGGGUCCGGGGGAUCUGGAGAGCAGGUCCCAGGGGCCGUGGCCCUGGGAGGUUCCGGAAGUGGGUCCCGCCUUACCUCGGGCUCCAUGCCUGUACCCGAGGGCAGCGUUCUGGGCCCAGGUUCCACGAGUGACCGUGA